rnacentral:rRNA from 1 species
AACGCUAGCUACAGGCUUAACACAUGCAAGUCGAGGGGCAGCAUGGUCUUAGCUUGCUAAGGCCGAUGGCGACCGGCGCACGGGUGAGUAACACGUAUCCAACCUGCCGUCUACUCUUGGACAGCCUUCUGAAAGGAAGAUUAAUACAAGAUGGCAUCAUGAGUCCGCAUGUUCACAUGAUUAAAGGUAUUCCGGUAGACGAUGGGGAUGCGUUCCAUUAGAUAGUAGGCGGGGUAACGGCCCACCUAGUCUUCGAUGGAUAGGGGUUCUGAGAGGAAGGUCCCCCACAUUGGAACUGAGACACGGUCCAAACUCCUACGGGAGGCAGCAGUGAGGAAUAUUGGUCAAUGGGCGAGAGCCUGAACCAACCAAGUAGCGUGAAGGAUGACUGCCCUAUGGGUUGUAAACUUCUUUUAUAAAGGAAUAAAGUCGGGUAUGGAUACCCGUCUGCGUGUACUUUAUGAAUAAGGAUCGGCUAACUCCGUGCCAGCAGCCGCGGUAAUACGGAGGAUCCGAGCGUUAUCCGGAUUUAUUGGGUUUAAAGGGAGCGUAGAUGGAUGUUUAAGUCAGUUGUGAAAGUUUGCGGCUCAACCGUAAAAUUGCAGUUGAUACUGGAUAUCUUGAGUGCAGUUGAGGCAGGCGGAAUUCGUGGUAUAGCGGUGAAAUGCUUAGAUAUCACGAAGAACUCCGAUUG